AUGAAUACAUUCUUGCAAUCAACUACUCCAACUCCAGAGCAACUAUUCUCACUGAUUACUCCUACCAUAACUGAAGAAGCUUUCUCUAGGAUAUUCUUGCUAUUGAAUCUUUCUAUCCUCAUUGCACCUAACUCAAAGGGACUACCCAGCAAAAAAUUCUUCAGUGCUUUGGUGGACAUAGAUUCUGUUCCCAAAUACAAUUGGUGUCUUUUUGCCCUGUCUUUCUUGAUUCAUCAAAUUAGAAAAUCAGACAUAAGGAUCAACCCCUCAGCCAUGACAGGGGGAUGCAAACUAAUAUUGGUGGUCAUGCACUUUGAAUUCCUAAUCACAUCUGAAUACAAGAUACCCUCCAACAUUUUCCCAAGGCUUCCAAUGUGGUCAUCAACUAUGCUGAAUGCUUUUUUAGCUCUUGAUACAAUGCCCGGAGAGGAAAAACAGUUUGGGAGGCUGCUAGAAAAUGCAAGAGUUGAACGUAGCACUCGGAAAUUCUGGCAAACAUUUCUAUCAAAUUCUAUACCAACAAUACAUUCCUACAUUGAUGAGGCACACCAUUGCUUUGGCCCCAAAAUUCCAUCGAAACAGAACAAGAGUGAUGAACUCACCAAAUUUCAUUCUCUUCCAAAUAUGAACUCCAGCAAUACUACAAGUCAUCCUUGUUCAUGCAAGUUGGAAACUGAAAAUCAUCCUGUCCUAGAACUAUUCCUCUCUUCAAUAGAUUUCAUUGAUUUCCCUGGGCCUCACAUUUAUCCAACCACUUUUGAUGAAGAAAACAACAAAAUAUUAGUUGAAUAUCUUAUCCAAAGCAUGUCUGAAUCUCUCCAUAUUGACAAGCAGAUAAAUUUUGACCUACUAUUGCUCAGUGCAUCAACAACUACAUAG
rnacentral:rRNA from 1 species